UGUAAACAGAAUAAGCAAGCUUGAUCAACAAAGUCCGAGAAGUUUUGCCUUCCCUUGGGAACAGCAAGCCGAGGAAAAAACAAGCGAUUGUACUGUUAAACCCAUAUUCUUCUGUAAGAAAUGAGAGAGCAAUGACAAGGAACAAGAUGCUAAGCAUCUCUGUGUUUGUCACAUAUUUUUGAUUCCUGUUCCGUUGGUUACACCAAGCAGCUAAGUACCUAUUUAAAAUAACGAGUCCUAGAGCCAGUAACGAGAAAAGAAUAGCCCUGCCAAACAUUUUCCAUGACAUGAAGGUAACAA
rnacentral:misc_RNA from 1 species